rnacentral:lncRNA from 1 species
GUGUAAGAUGAUCACAGAAUGGUUAUCCACAGCUUCCCUGUUUCACCUGUUUCGUGUUUGGGAAGAUUGCUAGCUUUUCGGAUGAGAAUGUGAUUAAAGCUGAGCUAUCAGAAGUCCUGGAGAUUUUCAAAUGAAGAAGUUUUCUGUUCAUCUUCUACAUAUGUGAAGUCAUUCCUUCUGACCUGAGGGAGGAUGGUGUGAUCUAGCUAAGGAACCACUGAAACGUUUAUGUGCCAUGAAUUCAAACUUUUGAGCACAUAUGGGCAGGCUGCAGUAAAUUUGCUGCAGUAAAAUGCAGUAAAUACAAGCUCUGGACUCUAUGUCUCUUGCUACAGCCUUAGUAAUGCGGCAGUGACAUCCUAGCCACCUCCAGUUUUGUUCCCAGCACCAGAAAAGAGACCCACUUUACCCUCAUCAGUGAAACUACCGUACUUUCCACAUGCUCACAUACUCUGCUCCUUUCCCCUUCCGAGGCUUACAAUGUGUAGUCAUCUAUAAGGUUAACAGCCCCAGCUUCUUACGGCCUCUCCUGGAAGGAGUGAAUUAUCCGAGUAGUGGGUUUGGUGCAAGGAACUGGACAUAUCUAUCUCAUUCCCUUUUGUCUUUUCUCUGUGGAAUCGGCCAAGUUUCUGAAGCACAGUAGACGUUCCCUCGUUACCCAGUGUGGGAGGCUGGCAAGUCUCAGAGUUUCCAGCCUGGUUCCCAGCUGAAUGAGAUCUGUUCCUGUGGAACAAACGUGGGAAGCACAGUGUUAUUAAAAUGUUAUAUCUCAACUGCCAUAAAUGGGACAGUGUGAAGAAGGGAAACCAAUGCAAUAAGCAGCCCUGGAAACAGCCUGGGAUGACUUGUUUGAGAGCAGAGAGAUUAAAAGUUACUCUCCUGAGCCUUGCAAGUACAACGCUAGUCCAAAUCCUUCCUGAUAAGUAUCAAAUGGAGACAACCAGUUACAAGAAAUUCCUCCAGCAACAGAACAAAUAUUGGCACUCCAAGAAAUAAUCUACCGAUGGGAAUAGAGACACUGAAAGUCAUCCCACGGCUAGUCAGGCCUAAGUCCAGCAGAAAAUGCUCAUCUUGACAGAAUCAGGAAGAUGUCAAAGCAAGUGCAUUUCUAGUCAAUAUAAAAACAGUUAUCCUCAUUUUACCUCCUGUUGGCUGUUCUGUGUCUUCCCAUUUACUCUAGAGUUGUUCUUGCUAUGCUUUUGCUGUGGCAUCAGGGUCGAUUUAACCAAGAGACUCACUAGGUAUUUGCUGCUAGGUCAAUGGAGCAACUCCUGUAGUUCCCCUGACUAAUCCAAUGUUGACUGGAGAAGCUAAUUUUAUAGGGGCCACGGCUCCCUAUGUGAAAACAGUAUGCAGUGCUUACCUAUGGAACACAGCAUUAUGGAGCAGUGUAAAGAGACUAGAGUAGGGUUAAAUAAACUCCAGGCCCAUGCCA